AAAUUGAAGAGUUUGAUCAUGGCUCAGAUUGAACGCUGGCGGCAGGCCUAACACAUGCAAGUCGAACGGUAACAGGAAACAGCUUGCUGUUUCGCUGACGAGUGGCGGACGGGUGAGUAAUGUCUGGGAAACUGCCUGAUGGAGGGGGAUAACUACUGGAAACGGUAGCUAAUACCGCAUAACGUCGCAAGACCAAAGAGGGGGACCUUCGGGCCUCUUGCCAUCGGAUGUGCCCAGAUGGGAUUAGCUAGUAGGUGGGGUAACGGCUCACCUAGGCGACGAUCCCUAGCUGGUCUGAGAGGAUGACCAGCCACACUGGAACUGAGACACGGUCCAGACUCCUACGGGAGGCAGCAGUGGGGAAUAUUGCACAAUGGGCGCAAGCCUGAUGCAGCCAUGCCGCGUGUAUGAAGAAGGCCUUCGGGUUGUAAAGUACUUUCAGCGGGGAGGAAGGG
rnacentral:rRNA from 1 species